GAGUUUGAUCUUGGCUCAGAGCGAACGCUGGCGGCAGGCUUAACACAUGCAAGUCGAGCGCCGUAGCAAUACGGAGCGGCAGACGGGUGAGUAACACGUGGGAACGUACCUUUUGGUUCGGAACAACACAGGGAAACUUGUGCUAAUACCGGAUAAGCCCUUACGGGGAAAGAUUUAUCGCCGAAAGAUCGGCCCGCGUCUGAUUAGCUAGUUGGUGAGGUAACGGCUCACCAAGGCGACGAUCAGUAGCUGGUCUGAGAGGAUGAUCAGCCACACUGGGACUGAGACACGGCCCAGACUCCUACGGGAGGCAGCAGUGGGGAAUAUUGGACAAUGGGCGCAAGCCUGAUCCAGCCAUGCCGCGUGAGUGAUGAAGGCCCUAGGGUUGUAAAGCUCUUUUGUGCGGGAAGAUAAUGACUGUACCGCAAGAAUAAGCCCCGGCUAACUUCGUGCCAGCAGCCGCGGU
rnacentral:rRNA from 1 species